AUUGAACGCUGGCGGCAGGCCUAACACAUGCAAGUCGAACGAGUGGCGGACGGGUGAGUAAUGUCUGGGAAACUGCCUGAUGGAGGGGGAUAACUACUGGAGACGGUAGCUAAUACCGCAUACAAUCAGAUGUGCCCAGUGGGGAUUAGCUAGUUGGUUGGGUAACGGCUCACCAAGGCGACGAUCACUAGCUGGCCUGAGAGGAUGACCAGCCACAUUGGAACUGAGACACUGUCCAGACUCCUACGGGAGGCAGCAGUGGGGAAUAUUGCACAAUGGGCGAAAGCCUGAUGCAGCCAUGCCGCGUGUAUGAAGAAGGCCUUCGGGUUGUAAAGUACUUUCGUCGGGGAGGCGUUACCCGAAGAAGAAGCACCGGCUAACUCCGUGCCAGCAGCCGCGGUAAUAC
rnacentral:rRNA from 1 species